rnacentral:rRNA from 1 species
UACAGAGGGUGCAAGCGUUAAUCGGAAUUACUGGGCGUAAAGCGCGCGUAGGCGGCUUUGCAAGCCGGAUGUGAAAUCCCCGGGCUUAACCUGGGAACUGCAUUCGGGACUGCAUUGCUAGAGUAUGGGAGAGGGAAGUGGAAUUUCAGGUGUAGCGGUGAAAUGCGUAGAUAUCUGAAGGAACAUCAGUGGCGAAAGCGACUUCCUGGACCAAUACUGACGCUGAGGAGCGAAAGCCAGGGGAGCAAACGGG